GGCGUCAAUGCACACGCCAUCAUUUCGGCAGUCUGCGCUAUGUGCGAAAGCAUAUACGUGACUGUCAAGUUUACCUUAAAUAAAUUAAAAUGCUCAAAAUAAGCGUAUGCUUGAAUAUCAUAUUAUGGAAUAAUGAAAUAGGACUUCGGUUCUUUUUGUUGGUUAUUGAAUCGGAGUAAUGAUUAAUAGGGAUAAUCUCGGGGGCAUUCGUAUUUCUGCGGGAGAGGUGAAAUUCUAUGAUCGCAGAAGGACGCCCUAAAGCGAAAGCAUUUGCCAAGAAUGUCUUCGUUAAUCAAGAACGAAAGUCAGAGGAUCGAAGGCGAUUAGAUACCGCCCUAGUUCUGACCGUAAACGAUACCAUCUAGCGAUCCGAUAGGGUCUAUCUAGCCUUGUCGGGGAGCUUCCCGGAAACGAAAGUCUUUCGGUUCCGGGGGUAGUAUGGUUGCAAAGCUGAAACUUAAAGAAAUUGACGGAAGGGCACCACCAGGAGUGGAGCUUGCGGCUUAAUUUGACUCAACACGGGAAAACUCACCCGGUCCGGACACCGUAAGGAUUGACAGACUGAUAGCUCUUUCUUGAUUCGGUGGUUGGUGGUGCAUGGCCGUUCUUAGUUGGUGGAGUAAUUUGUCUGGUUUAUUCCGAUAACGAGCGAGACUCUAGCCUGCUAAAUAGAACGAGGAUAAACCUUUUCAUAGGUCCUCGAUGCUUCUUAGAGGAAUUAGCGG
rnacentral:rRNA from 1 species